CACCUUUGGUUACUCGCUACAAAAUCAAAUCAAUCUGAAGCUGGAAGAAAGAAAAAAAAGAUGUUGGUAAAAAGAUGCAAGCAAUGUCGGCGAGUCGGUUUACUCAUGGGUGAACUUGUUUUGGAAGGCAGCAGGCGAGGACAAGCAAGCAGAGUUGAUCCGAUCCUCAUCAGUUUGGACAAAUCCAAGGGUCCUAAAGUGUAAACCCCACGGACCGGGAGCCUGUCACUUGCAAAACAGUCAUCCACUCAGCAGCAUUUUGCACAAUCAUGUCCGACAUCGCUCUACCACCACCUCCCGAUGAGGACGAACACCCUUGGCUUAUCUAAAAUAAAUGUUUUCUUUUCUCGAAAUGAAGGAUUCAUUCUAUCGGAAGAAAUGUCUGUUAUGUUUACCAAAAGUUUACCUAGCGUUCAAGAACUCGCCAUCGAACCUAAAAAAACACAUUGAGAGAAAGCAUGUACACCAUCUUAAGAAGUAUGGAGAACUGGCAGCAAACACACUGAA